UACGGAGGGGGCGAGCGUUGUUCGGAAUUAUUGGGCGUAAAGAGUAUGUAGGUGGUCAAGCAAGUCAGGCGUGUAAGCCCUCGGCUCAACCGAGGAAUUGCGUAUGAAACUACUUGACUUGAGUACGGAAGAGGAAAGCGGAAUUCCCAGUGUAGCGGUGAAAUGCAUUGAUAUUGGGAAGAACAUCGGUGGCGAAGGCGGCUUUCUGGUCCGAUACUGACACUGAGAUACGAAAGCCAGGGGAGCGAACGGGAUUAGAUACCCCGGUAGUCCUGGCCGUAAACGAUGGGCACUAGGUGUAGGAGGUAUUCGAUCCCUUCUUUGCCGUAGCUAACGCAUUAAGUGCCCCGCCUG
rnacentral:rRNA from 1 species